GACGUAGGGCGCGAGCGUUGUCCGGAUUUAUUGGGCGUAAAGAGCUCGUAGGCGGCUUGUUGCGUCGACUGUGAAAACCCGCGGCUUAACUGCGGGCUUGCAGUUGAUACGGGCAGGCUAGAGUUCGGUAGGGGAGACUGGAAUUUAUGGUGUAGCAGUGAAAUGCGUAGAUAUCAUAAGGAAGACCAGUGGCGAAGGCGGGUCUCUGGACAGUUCCUGACACUGAGACACGAAGGCCAGGGGAGCAAACGGG
rnacentral:rRNA from 1 species